rnacentral:lncRNA from 1 species
CUUGUAAAGUCCUUCUUAGAGAGACAGAUCCUUUCUAAGGGGAAGAUAUAAUACACGACAGGUAGAACUUGUGUGCAGAGCGCGGUCCAUGCCCAGUGUAUUGAGAAGGUGGGCAGAAAAUCUCCUGGAAAAGCAUGCAUGGUUUUGGAGAAAAUAAGCAGAAGGCAUGGGGACUGGAAGUUGUGAGGUACGAUGAGGCUUUUGCUGAUACAGGAAUGAUGUCCUCACCCACUGGGCCAUAGGAGUGGCCUCCCAGGAUCAAAGAACAUGGGGAGCCAGCACUGCCAGGACGAAGAAAGAGCUUCAUUACUAUGAACUUGCUUGUGGCUGGAGGAAUUGAAGUGGAGACGCUGACUCCCGUGAGCUUGGAGACUGCAGGGAUGACAACCUUAUGUUACAUUGAUGUGUUCUCAUUUUUGUUGAGUAUGACUAUACUUCUGUACAUUUUAUUUCACUCUUUAAACAUUUAUGUUCCUGUGUUAUGAUUAAUUAAGUGUAGUAAAAUGAAGUGUUUGCAAAGUUAAAA